ACGGGCCACACGAAAUGAUGUGGCGGGCCGUAUCUGGCCCCCAGGCCUUGAGUUUGACACAUGUGCAUUAAACCAUUCACGUCAGUACAAAUAAUUCACAGCCAGGAAGACAGCGACGUGUGGAUGACACCAUGCAGUUGAGGCCUUGGCUUGUCAAGUCCUAUGCUAAAGGCUAGCUAGUGUUGUCAAAAGCAAAAAAGCUAAGUUAGCAUGUCAUUCUAGCAUGUAGCAGAGAACGAAGGACACUUGGAGAUGAAACCGGUCGAGGUGCCAGAGGGAGAUAAGCCAAGAACCCGGCCAAAAAUGAUCGUCAAGGCUGAAAGACGGAAAAGAAAACAACAACCCCCACACACAUCGAAUCACCCAUAAUCAGCACCCAACCCCACGGAACCAGCUCUCGCCGAACCAGCACCCACUCCCAUGGAAUCAAACUCUCCUGCGAACUUGCCCCACCCCAAAGACUCAUCAAGCAUCAAACCCGGCCCACACCAACCUGUGCAACUGAAUAUAAGCUGAGCAAAGAACCUUGAACGUUGCCUUUUCUGAAUGGAGAUUUUCUGCUCUUGAGCAUGGUCGCACGAAAGGCCCAGCGCUGUAUUGUACUUUCCUGAAAACAGAGCUUUCUUAACAAGAAUUGUGUUUGAACUCGA